rnacentral:ncRNA from 1 species
CGGACUAACUUGUCCGUUGGGAUGUGGUCCCUUUGGGGACUGAACCGCAAA